rnacentral:rRNA from 1 species
CACCUAGGCGACGAUCCCUAGCGGGUCUGAGAGGAUGACCAGACACACUGAAACUGGGGCACGGUCCAGACUCCUACGGGAGGCAGCAGUGGGGAAUAUUGCACAAUGGGCGCAAGCCUGAUGCAGCCAUGCCGCGUGUAUGAAGAAGGCCUUCGGGUUGUAAAGUACUUUCAGCGGGGAGGAAGGGAGUAAAGUUAAUACCUUUGCUCAUUGACGUUACCCGCAGAAGAAGCACCGGCUAACUCCGUGCCAGCAGCCGCGGUAAUACGGAGGGUGCAAGCGUUAAUCGGAAUUACUGGGCGUAAAGCGCGCGUAGGUGGUUUGUUAAGUUGAAUGUGAAAUCCCCGGGCUCAACCUGGGAACUGCAUCCAAAACUGGCAAGCUAGAGUAUGGUAGAGGGUAGUGGAAUUUCCUGUGUAGCGGUGAAAUGCGUAGAUAUAGGAAGGAACACCAGUGGCGAAGGCGACUACCUGGACUGAUACUGACACUGAGGUGCGAAAGCGUGGGGAGCAACCAGGAUUAGAUACCCUGGUAGUCCACGCCGUAAACGAUGUCGACUUGGAGGUUGUGCCCUUGAGGCGUGGCUUCCGGAGCUAACGCGUUAAGUCGACCGCCUGGGGAGUACGGCCGCAAGGUUA